AGUGAACGCUGGCGGUAGGCCUAACACAUGCAAGUCGAACGGCAGCACAGUAAGAGCUUGCUCUUACGGGUGGCGAGUGGCGGACGAGUGAGGAAUACAUCGGAAUCUACUUUUUCGUGGGGGAUAACGUAGGGAAACUUACGCUAAUACCGCAUACGACCUACGGGUGAAAGCAGGGGAUCUUCGGACCUUGCGCGUUUGAAUGAGCCGAUGUCGGAUUAGCUAGUUGGCGGGGUAAAGGCCCACCAAGGCGACGAUCCGUAGCUGGUCUGAGAGGAUGAUCAGCCACACUGGAACUGAGACACGGUCCAGACUCCUACGGGAGGCAGCAGUGGGGAAUAUUGGACAAUGGGCGCAAGCCUGAUCCAGCCAUACCGCGUGGGUGAAGAAGGCCUUCGGGUUGUAAAGCCCUUUUGUUGGGAAAGAAAAGCAGCAGGUUAAUACCCCGCUGUUCUGACGGUACCCAAAGAAUAAGCACCGGCUAACUUCGUG
rnacentral:rRNA from 1 species